GACAAUCACGGGAUAAUGUAAGGAAUUUGAUUGACAUUAUUGAAUACCUGGACAUGAAAAUAGACAGAAAAGCCGCACUGGUUUUCAUAGACGCCGAAAAGGCAUUUGAUAAUGUUUCCUGGAACUUCCUAAAGAAGGCUUUGGAAAGGAUGGGAAUUGGCGAAAAAUUUAGAAGAGGCAUAGAAGCAAUAUACAAAGAACAGAAAGCAAAGCUGGUGAUAAAUAACAAUACAACAGAAUAUUUUAACAUUUAUAAAGGGACCAGACAAGGUUGCCCCCUGUCCCCCUUAUUAUUUAUUGUAAUUUUGGAAGUACUUAAUAAGAGACUGAGGGAGGCAACAGAAGUGAAAGGAAUUAGAGUAGGAAAGAAGGAAUUCAAAAUUAAAGCCUUUGCCGACGAUAUUGUUUUGACUUUGGAAGAUCCACAAGAUAGUGUAAAAGAAGCAUUACAAAAAAUUGAGGAAUUUGGAGAGGUGGCAGGUUUUAAGGUAAACAAGAAUAAAACUAAAAUGCUGGUUAAAAAUCUAACUAAGGAAGAAACGAAAGAUCUAGAACAAAAAGUGGAAAUCAUGGUGGUGAAAAAAGUGAAAUAUUUGGGAGUGUGGAUUACGGCAAAAAACAUAAACCUAUAUAAAGAUAAUUAUGAAGUUACAUGG